rnacentral:lncRNA from 1 species
CUUCGGCAGCCGAAUGUGCAUGACAGAUCCGAAAGUCCAGCUUCCGGAAGCAGCCUUCGGCAGCCGAAGCCACCUCCACAAGGCUUUUCGGCGGCCGAAACUCACUUCGGCGGCCGAACCUGAGUUCUUCCAGAACCCAGUUCAUGCACAAACAUCUCUCCUCAACCCUUCCUCACAUACCCAACAUGCAUAAAACCUCCUCAAGACAUGCAUAGACCUCUAAACAUACCCAAAGAGGCCUAAAACACUCUUAAACUCUAACAACAAUAAC